CAGCAGCCACGGGAAUACAGAGGGUGCAAGCGUUAAUCGGAAUUACUGGGCGUAAAGCGCGCGUAGGUGGUUUGUUAAGUUGGAUGUGAAAUCCCCGGGCUCAACCUGGGAACUGCAUCCAAAACUGGCAAGCUAGAGUAUGGUAGAGGGUGGUGGAAUUUCCUGUGUAGCGGUGAAAUGCGUAGAUAUAGGAAGGAACACCAGUGGCGAAGGCGACCACCUGGACUGAUACUGACACUGAGGUGCGAAAGCGUGGGGAGCAAACAGGAUUAGAUACCCGUGUAGUCCUGUCUCUUAUACA
rnacentral:rRNA from 1 species